AUUGAACGCUAGCGGGAUGCUUUACACAUGCAAGUCGAACGAGUGGCGGACGGGUGAGUAAUAUAUCGGAACGUGCCCAGUAGAGGGGGAUAACUACUCGAAAGAGUGGCUAAUACCGCAUACUAUUGGAGCGGCCGAUAUCGGACUAGCUAGUUGGUGGGGUAAAGGCACACCAAGGCAACGAUCCGUAGCUGGUUUGAGAGGACGACCAGGCACACUGGGACUGAGACACGGUCCAGACUCCUCCGGGAGGCAGCAGUGGUGAAUUUUGCACAAUGGGCGCAAGCCUGAUGCAGCCAUGCCGCGUGUAUGAGAAGGCCCUAGUGUUGUAAAGUACUUUCAGUCGGAGAGCGUUACCGACAGAAGAAGCACCGGCUAACUCCGUUCCAGCAGCCGCGGUAAUUC
rnacentral:rRNA from 1 species